GUAUGUCUGUGUAUGUGUGGAUGUCUGUGUAUGUGUGGAUGUCUGUGUAUGUGUGGAUGUCUGUGUAUGUGUGGAUGUCUGUGUAUGUGUGGAUGUCUGUUUGUGGAUGUCUGUGUAUGUGUGGAUGUCUGUGUAUGUGUGGAUGUCUGUUUGUGGAUGUCUGUGGAUGUGUGGAUGUCUGUGGAUGUGUGGAUGUCUGUGGAUGUGUGGAUGUCUGUGGAUGUGUGGAUGUCUGUGGAUGUGUGGAUGUCUGUGGAUGUGUGGACGUCUGUUUGUGGAUGUGUGGACGUCUGUGGAUGUGUGGACGUCUGUGGGUGUGUGGACGUCUG